GGUUGUGGCUCAGCGGUAGAGCGCUCACCUAGCACAUGAGAGGCCCUGGGUUUGAUCCUCAGCACCA
rnacentral:tRNA from 1 species